GUGGGGAAUAUUGGACAAUGGGCGCAAGCCUGAUCCAGCCAUGCCGCGUGAGUGACGAAGGCCUUAGGGUUGUAAAGCUCUUUUGGCGGGGACGAUAAUGACGGUACCCGCAGAAUAAGCUCCGGCUAACUUCGUGCCAGCAGCCGCGGUAAUACGAAGGGAGCUAGCGUUGUUCGGAAUCACUGGGCGUAAAGCGCACGUAGGCGGAUCGUUAAGUCGGGGGUGAAAUCCCGAGGCUCAACCUCGGAACUGCCUUCGAUACUGGCGAUCUUGAGUUCGGGAGAGGUGGGUGGAAUUCCUAGUGUAGAGGUGAAAUUCGUAGAUAUUAGGAAGAACACCGGUGGCGAAGGCGGCCCACUGGCCCGAUACUGACGCUGAGGUGCGAAAGCGUGGGGAGCAAACAGGAUUAGAUACCCUAGUAGUCC
rnacentral:rRNA from 1 species